rnacentral:rRNA from 2 species
UCCUCCAAGGCUAAAUACUCCUGACUGACCGAUAGUGAACCAGUACCGUGAGGGAAAGGCGAAAAGAACCCCGGCGAGGGGAGUGAAAAAGAACCUGAAACCGUGUACGUACAAGCAGUGGGAGCACCCUUUGGGGUGUGACUGCGUACCUUUUGUAUAAUGGGUCAGCGACUUAUAUUCUGUAGCAAGGUUAACCGAAUAGGGGAGCCGGAGGGAAACCGAGUCUUAA